GAUGAACGCUGGCGGCGUGCCUAAUACAUGCAAGUCGAACGCAUUGUGGUUGAAAUGAUAUGAAGAACUUGUUCAGAUUUGAUUUUCAACAUUGCAAUGAGUGGCGAACGGGUGAGUAACACGUGGGAAACCUACCUCUUAGCAGGGGAUAACAUUUGGAAACAAAUGCUAAUACCGUAUAAUAAUUAAAACCGCAUGGUUUUAGUUUAAAAGAUGGUCUUGCUAUCACUAAGAGAUGGUCCCGCGGUGUAUUAGUUAGUUGGUGAGGUAAUGGCUCACCAAGACAAUGAUACAUAGCCGAGUUGAGAGACUGACCGGCCACAAUGGGACUGAGACACGGCCCAUACUCCUACGGGAGGCAGCAGUAGGGAAUCUUCCACAAUGGACGAAAGUCUGAUGGAGCAACGCCGCGUGUGUGAUGAAGGGUUUCGGCUCGUAAAACACUAGUUGUAAAGAGAAGAAUGACAUUGAGAGUAACUGUUCAAUGUGUGACGGUA
rnacentral:rRNA from 1 species